GAGCCAGCAGGACUUAACACCUGGAAUUUUAAGAGUCAACAGCUCUGCUCUCGGAGAGUGGGGAGGGCGAGAGGAGCUAGGGGGGACAGUUGUUGAGCCCUGGAAGACGGAGCUCAGCUCUGUGGGGAACAAAGGCGCUGGCCAGAGCCAUCUCCCUCACCCAUCCCCCAGCCGAAAUCCCAAAGGGAACCAGUUCCCCUCACUGAACUUGCUUGCACCUCACAAACACCCAACACUGUGCUGCUGUGGAUCCAUCCCUCCGACAGGUCGGCCUCCCUUCUGGUGCUGCAGGACCCCUCCCGCAGGGGACCACCUAUGGAAAAGUGAUCUAAGCCUGCCUCUCCCACCCCUGUGCACCUUGCGGAUCCACCACGGCUAAUACACCAGAUUCAAUCAAAGCAGCACCUCAGGCCUGGCAGUGUGCAAGUAGUCCAGACAGGGGCCACACCACUCAACAUUCCAUGGCCUUCACAUGAAAGUGAUCUGUGUGACAGUCUUCUCCACUGAGCUUAAGCAGGAGACUGAAAUCUAAAACUGUGGCCUCAACAUUGUCAUCUGAAAGCUGGUUGUCUAUUCUCUGAAUUUUUAUACUGAUCUGGAAGAGAAGGCAAGAAGAGCUAGCACUUUGGGCAUCUCUACACAGGACACCAUUGGAAACAUCAGUUAUAUUACCAAAGCUUUGACUGGAAUGUCAUGUUUGAAAGACAUGCAUAGACUCAGAUAUGACCAUACAGUUUUAAGGAACUACGGCUGACUUUAUGAAGCACGGAGUCAAUAAAGCACCUUUGGAAAUGUUGGCCUGAUACCUUGCUUAUUACAGAGUUCCCAGCAGCCUUACCACAUUAUCACAAAAAUGUAAACACGAUUGCUAAAAGAUACAGAUUGGUGUUUUAAACGACCUCGCUCUGUAAACUCCUGGACUGGAAGAGGAUUUUGGACAAGUAUCAGGGCAAGAGAAAAGCUGCAAAAGCAAUUGAACUUGAAGAGGACUCCACUUGAGACUUGCUUUCAUCCUGCCUUGUCUGCCCUCCCUUCCCUUCUCUUCUGAGAUUGAUGUGCCUCUCCUGACCACCCCCACAGAGCCACAUCCUGCAGGCAAUCCUAAGACACUGUCUGCGAGAAAGCUAACUUCAUGGAAUUUCAUGCCUCUCUGAACAAACUAUGCCACUGAGGUCUCUGUCACUCAAAUGGUUGAGGACCAACAAGUUUCUUCAACAAAUAUUUAUGGGCUGUCACCAAAUGCCAAGAAGAAGGCUCAGCCCUAAGACUGAAAUAAUCCGUAAGGCAUAGUUUCUGUCUUUGAGGAGCUCACUUAAUUACGCCCAAUAUUUAAGACUUUCUUCAUGCCUAAUAAUUCUGAAUGUUUUGUUGCUAAUUUGUAUUUCAAUGUUGCAGGGGCAGCCUAAGUAAACUGAUUAUUUUCACUGA